CAGCCGCCGCGGUAAUACGUAGGGUGCAAGCGUUAAUCGGAAUUACUGGGCGUAAAGCGUGCGCAGGCGGUUAUAUAAGACAGUCGUGAAAUCCCCGGGCUCAACCUGGGAACUGCGAUUGUGACUGUAUGGCUAGAGUGUGUCAGAGGGGGGUAGAAUUCCACGUGUAGCAGUGAAAUGCGUAGAUAUGUGGAGGAAUACCGAUGGCGAAGGCAGCCCCCUGGGAUAACACUGACGCUCAUGCACGAAAGCGUGGGGAGCAAACAGGAUUAGAUACCCCUGUAGUCCCUGUCUCUUAUAC
rnacentral:rRNA from 1 species